AGCCUGCCCAUUGAUAAAUUUAACGGCCGCGGUAUUCUGACCGUGCAAAGGUAGCACAACCACUUGUUCUCUAAAUAAGGACUAGUAUGAACGGCAUCACGAGGACUUUACUGUCUCCCCCUUUUAAUUAGUGAAACUGAUCUCCCCGUGAAAAAGCGAGGAUUUACCUAUAAGACGAGAAGACCCCAUGGAGCUUUAAACCUAAGCUAAUUGUUCGAAUUUUUUCCACAAAACAUAACAAACUAUAGUACUUCUGGUUUUUGGUUGGGGCAACCGCGGAGAAAAACUAACCCUCCGCAAUGAAUGAGCCUCCCCUCUAAGCUCUGAAUAACCAUUCUAGCCAUCAAAAACUUGAUAUUUUUGACCCAUCAGAAAUGCAUGAGCAAUGAACCAAGUUACCCUGGGGAUAACAGCGCAAUCCAUUAUUAGAGUUCAUAUCGACUUUUGGGUUUACGACCUCGAUGUUGGAUCAGGAUGUCCAAGUGGUGCAGCCGCUACUAAAGGUUCGUUUGUUCAACGAUUAAAAUCCUACGUGAUCUGAGUUCAGACCGGA
rnacentral:rRNA from 1 species